GGAAGGAUCAUUAUUGAAUAACUUGGUGUUGAGCUGGCCCUAUUGGGCAUGUGCUUGCAUCAUAUUAUUUAUCUAUCUCUUGUGCACCUUUUGUAGUCUUUGAAGUGUUCGCAGUCGAUGCGGUUUUGGGGCUUGGGCUCUGCCCUCUUCCCUGUUUGCUUCAAAGGCUAUGUUUUUUACACACACUAUUGAAGUUACAGAAUGUCUCUUAUUGACUUUCGAGUCAGUAAAUCUAUACAACUUUCAGCAACGGAUCUCUUGGCUCUCCCAUCGAUGAAGAACGCAGCGAAAUGCGAUAAGUAAUGUGAAUUGCAGAAUUCAGUGAAUCAUCGAAUCUUUGAACGCACCUUGCGCCCUUUGGUAUUCCGAAGGGCAUGCCUGUUUGAGUGUCAUUAAAUUCUCAACCUCGCAAGCUUGCUUUGCGAGGCUUGGAUGUGAGGGUUUUUGCUGGCUUCCUUCAGUUGGAUGGUCUGCUCCCUUGAAAUUCAUUAGUGGGAUCCUUUGUGGAUGGUCACUUGGUGUGAUAAUUAUCUACGCCGCCUGACUCUGAAACAAGACUUGUGGGAACCUGCCUAUAACCGUCUCUUUCAAGAGACAAGCUUAUCUUGACAAUUUGACCUCAAAUCAGGUAGGACUACCCGCUGAACUUAAGCAUAUCAAUAAGCGGAGGAAAAGAAACUAACAAGGAUUCCCCUAGUAACUGCGAGUGAAGCGGGAAAAGCUCAAAUUUGAAAUCUGGCGGUUCCGCCGUCCGAGUUGUAA
rnacentral:rRNA from 1 species